rnacentral:rRNA from 1 species
AGCAGUAGCCGCGGGAAUACGUAGGGUGCAAGCGUUAAUCGGAAUUACUGGGCGUAAAGCGUGCGCAGGCGGUUAUAUAAGACAGAUGUGAAAUCCCCGGGCUCAACCUGGGAACUGCAUUUGUGACUGUAUAGCUAGAGUACGGCAGAGGGGGAUGGAAUUCCGCGUGUAGCAGUGAAAUGCGUAGAUAUGCGGAGGAACAACGAUGGCGAAGGCAAUCCCCUGGGCCUGUACUGACGCUCAUGCACGAAAGCGUGGGGAGCAAACAGGAUUAGAUACCCCCGUAGUCCCUGUCUCUUAUAC